rnacentral:rRNA from 1 species
GAUGAACGCUGGCGGCGUGCCUAAUACAUGCAAGUCGAGCGAACAGACGAGGAGCUUGCUCCUCUGACGUUAGCGGCGGACGGGAGAGUAACACGUGGAUAACCUACCUAUAAGACUGGGAUAACUUCGGGAAACCGGAGCUAAUACCGGAUAAUAUAUUGAACCGCAUGGUUCAAUAGUGAAAGACGGUUUUGCUGUCACUUAUAGAUGGAUCCGCGCCGCAUUAGCUAGUUGGUAAGGUAACGGCUUACCAAGGCAACGAUGCGUAUCCGACCUGAGAGGGUGAUCGGCCACACUGGAACGGAGCCACGGUCCAGACUCCUACGGGAGGCAGCAGUAGGCAAUCUUACGCAACGGGCGAAAGCUUGACGGAGCAACGCGGCGUGAGUGAUGAAGGUCUUCGGAUCGUAAAAAUCUGUUAUUAGGGAAGAACAAAUGUGUAAGUAAAUAUGCACGUCUUGACGGUACCUAAUCAGAAAGCCACGGCUAACUACGUG